rnacentral:lncRNA from 1 species
CUUUGAAGCAGAGGGCAGGAGCGAGUUCCGUUGAAAGGCCACUGCGUCGGGAGCCCCACGGCUUUAUCCCGGCACAAGAACGGGUCGGGGUGCUGGGCUCGAGGGCGGCACCCUUCCCUGGUGGGCCGAUGGGGCAGAGCGGGUCUCACAGGUGCACUUCACCUCCCCCCUCCCCCACCCACCGCCUCACUUCCGUCAUUAGAAAUCCGCGUGCAUUGUUCAACCGAGCUUCCUCUGACCUGGAGGAACUGCCCAGAUCCACUUCCCACUCUGUUGGUGGAAGAUCCAGGCCCAUAACUAGGUCUAGGUAUGAACAAGUGUUUUGGGCCUGGCCAAUCAGAGUACUGCUUCCUCAAGACCAGCCAAUCAGAAUGUGGCUCUCACAGGUUUGGCCAAUUGGAAUGCUGCUUCCACAGGCCUAGCCAAUCAGAGCCUGACUCCCAUAAGUUUACCCAAUCAGAAUACUACUCCAACAGGCCUAGUCUAUCACUGCACUGCUCCCACAGGUCUGGCCAAUCAGAGCAUGUUUCCGCAGAUCCUUUCCAUGGAGCGUUCUGUAGCUCAAGUCCCGGAACCUGCUAUGUGUCCCUAAGAUCGCAGUGCUCACGAUCUGGGGAGAAAGUGGUGAGUGAGGAACUUGGCAGAUGUGGUCUCGCCGUGGGUGGACUUAGCACUCCUGGGCCUUGGGCUGCUGGUUCUCUGGGAGCCGUGAACCAAUGCCCAGGCCGCUGGGUACCCUGCGCCCACACAGGUGUCUGUCCCUGGCAGCCCCUGCAGACCUGGUGUCCUCUCGACCUCCAGCUGGACGUGAAGCCAGCACUCGGCCCGCACAGAAACAAGGCACCCCUGCCACUGCACCAGAACAGGCCGGCGACGUCUCUGAGGCACCCAUUGCUCAUGCACACCUUCAGCACAGAGUUCCUGAGCACCGACUGUGAGCUGGCUCUGCUGUGGAUUCGGGGAAUGAACAGCAGGCAAAAUCUGGCUUCUGAGCUUAACUUUGUUGGAAGACAAUGGCAAGAAGCAAAUCUGUGAUUAUAGUAUGCAGUGUGCCACAUCCGGACGUGAGCCGUGGAGCAAAACAGAAAUACCCAGGGCAGAGGGGUGGGGGAAAUUUAGGAUGGUGGUCAGAGAACAUCUUGCAGAACACAUGACAUUUAUGCAAAUGGUUCAGAGGAAGGUUUUACAGGUGGAGGAAGUGAGGGACAGACAGAGUCAGUUCCUGGCUCAGCAGCAGCAGAACUAGGAUAAGCACGCGGCUCCUGGGUGCCUGUGACAUCCACCCUGUCCUCUGCCUGUCCCUGGUUCACAGCACAGGCCGAAGUCUUGGCAAACUCUACUCUGAUGGCAGGAGAGUUUAUUUCCUCCCUUGGGUUGUACAGUGGGGUAAAUGGUGUCCCCCAAAAUGAUAUGCCUACUUCUGAGCACCAGAAGUGACCUUAUUUCCCUGGAAAACAGAUUUUUUCGAAUGUCCUCGAGGAUCUUGAGAUCCUCUCGGAUUUAGAGUGGCUCCUGAUCCAAUGACAAGUGCCCAUUUAGGAGGCAGAGUAAAGGACGCAGAAGAAGAGGAGGCCAGGACAAGACCGGGUGACAUCCCACAAGCCAAGUGUAACUUAGCACCUGAAGCUAGAAAAAGCAAGGGUUUCCCCGGAGCCUUCAGUGGGGGGCAGCUUGGACUUCCAGCCUCCAGACCUGAAGCAGAAUACACGCCUGUUACUUUAAGCCUCGUGGCCUGUGGCCAUUGGGUACAGCAGCCUUAGGAAACAAACGGAGGGUGUAGCAAGCUCGGCUGGGAAGAGUGAGUCAGGACCCCGACUGUGUGGGGAGGCAGCCACUCCGCUGAUGUGUGACUAUCCCUGCGGAUUUGACCCCUCCCCACAGCCUGCGCUUUUGCUUUCACCUUUCCUGACCAAGGGCAGCCUAGCCCAGCAGGACAGUGCGGUCCCUGCAUGAGCCAGGGCCACUCUUCCAAGUCAGCCUUCCCACUGGCCCGAGCAGAGGCCUGCCACCUCCGUGCCCGGUGAGUGUGCGUGUGUCCUCAUGCCACCUGCGGAGUCCUGAGACAGGCACUGUGUGCCGCGUCUUCCCCCAGCCAAGCUUGCUCCCGGAGAGCGACCUCACCGGGACGAUUAGCCCUUGAUGGGGGGCAGCUUUGAAAUGUGCUCUCCUGUCAAACUCUGUGAGCGGUGCUCAAUGCAUCGAUUCUAGGAAGUCACAAACUCCUUGCUGGCUAAUGAAGGUGUAAAUGAGUGGUGCUGCUUUCUUCUUUCUUGGGUCUGUUCUUUUUCAUGCCUCCCAGGGAUGUUUCCAAGUGGACACCAUCAUGGCCCUCCUUGCCGGUUAGGCUGCGCCAACCCCGGCUCCAAGCUCAGGGCACCUUUGUCCCUC